AUUGAACACUGGCGGCAUGCCUUACACAUGCAAGUCGAACGGUAACAGGUUAAGCUGACGAGUGGCGAACGGGUGAGUAAUGUAUCGGAACGUGCCCAGUCGUGGGGGAUAACUGCUCGAAAGAGCAGCUAAUACCGCAUACGACCUGAGGGUGAAAGCGGGGGAUCGCAAGACCUCGCGCGAUUGGAGCGGCCGAUAUCAGAUUAGGUAGUUGGUGAGGGAAAGGCUCAACAAGCCGACGAGCUGUAGCUGGUCUGAGAGGACGACCAGCCACACUGGGACUGAGACACGGCCCAGACUCCUACGGGAGGCAGCAGUGGGGAAUUUUGGACAAUGGGCGCAAGCCUGAUCCAGCCAUGCCGCGUGCGGGAAGAAGGCCUUCGGGUUGUAAACCGCUUUUGUCAGGGAAGAAAAGGUUCUGGCUAAUACCUGGGACUCAUGACGGUACCUGAAGAAUAAGCACCGGCUAACUACGUGCCAGCAGCCGCCGUAACAC
rnacentral:rRNA from 1 species